CCUACGGGAGGCAGCAGUGGGGGAUAUUGCACAAUGGGGGGAACCCUGAUGCAGCGACGCCGCGUGAGUGAAGAAGUAUUUCGGUAUGUAAAGCUCUAUCAGCAGGGAAGAAAAUGACAAUACCUGCCCAAUAAGCCCCGGCUAACUACUGGCCAGCAGCCGCGGUGAUACGUAGGGGGCAGGCGUUAUACGGAUUAACUGGGUGUAAAGGGAGCGUAGACGGGUAUGUAAGUCUGGAGGGAAAGCCCGGGGCCCAAACCCGGGACUGCUUUGGAAACUGUGUAACUGGAGUACAGGAGGGGCAGGCGGAAUUCCUGGUGUAGCGGGGAAAUGCGUAGAUAUCAGGAGGAACACCGGUGGCGAAGGCGGCCUGCUGGACUGAAACUGACGUUGAGGCUCGAAAGCGUGGGGAGCAAACAGGAUUAGAUACCCGGGUAGUC
rnacentral:rRNA from 1 species